rnacentral:rRNA from 1 species
GGCGAACGCUGGCGGCGUGCUUAACACAUGCAAGUCGAACGGUGAAGCCCUUCGGGGUGGAUCAGUGGCGAACGGGUGAGUAACACGUGAGCAACCUGCCCCUGGCUCUGGGACAACCACUGGAAACGGCGGCUAAUACCGGAUACGACCCGCCUCGGCAUCGAGUGUGGGUGGAAAGUUUUUCGGCUGGGGAUGGGCUCGCGGCCUAUCAGCUUGUUGGUGAGGUGAAGGCUCACCAAGGCGACGACGGGUAGCCGGCCUGAGAGGGCGACCGGCCACACUGGGACUGAGACACGGCCCAGACUCCUACGGGAGGCAGCAGUGGGGAAUAUUGCACAAUGGGCGAAAGCCUGAUGCAGCGACGCCGCGUGAGGGAUGACGGCCUUCGGGUUGUAAACCUCUUUCAGCUCCGAAGAAGCGAAAGUGACGGUAGGAGCAGAAGAAGCACCGGCUAACUACGUG